rnacentral:lncRNA from 1 species
ACCAAGCCCACCUCACAAUGAUAUGAUGUUGGCUAGCAUCAAUAAUAAUGAGAGAGUACGCUUACUUAUUUGCAUCUCUUGCAAGUACCCAUCUUAUUUGGCCUCUAGAGAAUGAAGCCUCACAAUGAUAUGAUUUGGCUCCAUUGCACUUAGUUAAGUCAUUCCCACCAUGCAAGUUCGAGUAGGGGUUCAAGAACAACCUCACAAUGAUAUGAUGCUGAUCAUUGUCGUUGCCUACCUUCACAACAUCAUGUAUGCGUAUAGAACUCCUCCUAAGUGUAAGCACGCACUUUGUACUCCCCCGUGAUAGGGUGAAGUCGGUGUACGAGUCACAAACGAUCGAAGCCUACCACGGUGGAAGGCCACGAAAGAGUGUUCAAAGCACUCUCACGCUUAUCAACUUA